GGGAGGAGGGGCCAAGCAGUCCUUUUUAUAGUGAGUUAGGCCUGCCUGGCUGUUGCCAGGUAACUGUGGGGUGGAGUUUAGACAGAAUGCUAACCAGAAGGGUCAAGGAUACUUCAAGAAGAUGCACAGAGUCAACUAUCCCGAGACCAUGUGGGCUCACAGAGACUGGGUCACCAACCAGGGAUCAUGCAGGAGCUGGACCUAGACCCCUACAUAUUUGUAGGAUCCUCUACAAGUGGAGUUGGGGCUCUCUCUGUCUUUGUUUCUGCCAUCGGAUCCCCUUCCCCAUAUCUAGACUGCCUGGUUGGGCCUCAGUGGGAGAGGAUGCGUGCUGGGACUAGAUGCCUCAAGGAGAGCAUGAAUACAGUUUCUCACUACCACCAAAUAUGCAGUCAAGUUUCCUGAAUUUGGGGAAAUUAUAGGGACUAGAAUAUCUAGAUGUUCUGGAUGUAAUGAAUAAACCUCACCCUGGGAAAACCACCUUCGUGAUCAUGGUAUCUCUUCUUUUAGGCUCAUUGAAGAAUGGAAUGAAAUCAUUUUUAAAGAAUUGUUG